ACGAAGGCUUCGGCCUUAGUGGCGCACGGGUGCGUAACGCGUGGGAAUCUGCCCUCAGGUUCGGAAUAACAGCGAGAAAUUGCUGCUAAUACCGGAUGAUAUCGCGAGAUCAAAGAUUUAUCGCCUGAGGAUGAGCCCGCGUAGGAUUAGCUAGUUGGUGUGGUAAAGGCGCACCAAGGCGACGAUCCUUAGCUGGUCUGAGAGGAUGAUCAGCCACACUGGGACUGAGACACGGCCCAGACUCCUACGGGAGGCAGCAGUGGGGAAUAUUGGACAAUGGGCGAAAGCCUGAUCCAGCAAUGCCGCGUGAGUGAUGAAGGCCUUAGGGUUGUAAAGCUCUUUUACCCGGGAUGAUAAUGACAGUACCGGGAGAAUAAGCUCCGGCUAACUCCGUGCCAGCAG
rnacentral:rRNA from 1 species